rnacentral:rRNA from 1 species
AAUAAAUAAAUAAAAUAUUUAUAUUUAAGUAAAAGAUUAAAUGUUAAAUCAUUAAAUUUAUAAGAUUUGGCGGUAUUUUAUAAAAUUAGAGGAAUCUGUAAGUUAAUUGAUGAUCCACGAUAGGAGCAACUUAUAAAAAUUUAUUUAUGUAUUGCUGUUUAAAAAAUUUUAUUAAGUAAAAUUUAAUUUUUAAAAUUUUUAAUUAAAUUCAAGUCAAAAUAUAGUUUAAAUAAGAUAUUUAUGGAUUACAUUUUUUAUUAAUAAUGGAUAAUUUAAUUUAAUUUUAAUUUGAAAUUGGGAUUUAAUAGUAAAUUUAAUUAAUUAAUUAAUUUGAAUAUAAUAUGUAAAAUGUGU